UACGUAGGGGGCGAGCGUUGUCCGGAGUUACUGGGCGUAAAGGGCGUGCAGGCGGUCUGGUAAGUUUGGAGUGACAGUGCUCGGCUUAACUGAGCAAGGUUUUCAAAAACUGCUGGACUUGAGGGCUUGAGAGGGACAUAGAAUUCCGGGUGGAGUGGUGAAAUGCGUAGAUAUCAGGAGGAACACCGAUGGCGAAGGCAGGUCUCUGGGCCACUACUGACGCUGAGAAGCGAAAGCAUGGGGAGCAAACAGG
rnacentral:rRNA from 1 species